rnacentral:sRNA from 1 species
UUUUAAUUUUUUUUAUAAUAUAUCACCAGGAAAUUGGUAAUAUAAAACACGAUCAUAAUUUUAUAAUUUCUGGUAUAAAACAAAUAUAAUUUUUUUACGUUGGGUUUUAAGUUAAAAUUGUGGAAAAAAUUAGAAGAACGCUAAUAUUAUAACAAAACCGAUUUUUUUAUAUUAUAUAAAAUUAUUAGUAAAUAUAUAAAUAUAUUUAUUUUUUUAUAUUUUAGGGGUAAUAAAUAAUAUUUUGGUUUUUGGUUUUAAACAAAUUUGGUAUUAAAAUAGGUUUUUCUUAUAUUCGUUUAUUUUCUUUCCAUAUUUCGUGCCGCAAUUAUUACUAAUACCGUGCGGAACGAUUUAACGACAAAAGUAAUUGUAUAUAUAUUUCCAAUUAUAAUUGUUUAUAAAUCGUUUCUAACGCAAAUUCGUAUUUUGUAUUUAAUUAUAUAAUUGUCCUAGUUAAAUUUAUAUAGACAAACCCAUUUAAAUAAUAUAAACCUAAUUUUUUUCGGAUAUUUUGUAAAUUGAAUUCUUUUAUAAAUUUUUUUAACGUGGAAAUUGCCCAUUUUAUCGUUUACUGCGGGUAGAAAAUUGUUUUUAAUAAAUAUUUAAAUAUAAUUUUAUAAUUUUUGGGUAAUGGCGGAAAGUUAUUAAAAUAUUUAAAACCCUCCGCGUUAUAUAUAUUAAAACCUGUUUUUUCCUUUUUGGAAUUAAUUAAUUAUUUUUUAAAAAAAUUGGUGGCAAUUAUAAGAAUAUAAUAUAUUAUAAUUAGCAUAUUUUCGUAUUUUGGGUUAUAAUAUAUAAUUUUUAUAAAAUUUCGCUAAUUUUGUUCCGCAAUUGUUUUACUUAUAUAUAUAAAAAUUGCAAAUAUAUUUUUUAUUUCGUCGUUAUUUUAAUUGUUUUUUUUAUUGGCGGAUUUUAUUAUUUAUUUGCGAAUUUUGUUAAUUUACCGCGGCGUUUUAUAGCGGUUUGUAAUAGGAUUUUUAUAUUUAUUUAAAUUUUAAAUAAAUAAUUUUAUUGUAGUAAAAAAAAUGGUUUUUCCAUUUUUUUAAAGGUAUAAUAAUAUAUAUUACGGUAUUAAUUUCCGGAAAUAUUUUCAAUCAAAAAGUUUUGUUCCGGGUUUUUAAAAAAUUUAAAUAUAAUUUUUGAAAUUUUAAAACCGAUAUCCAAUUUUCGGUUUUUUUCCAAUAUUCGUUCCGCAAUUAUAGGAAUAAUUAUAAGUUUUUUUUCGACGGGUAAUUUAACAAAAUUUCCAACGUUCUGGGCGUAUUUAACUUUUUUAUCCAAUUCGUCGACGGUAAAUUGGAUUAUUUCGGGAAACAAACGGUGUUUUUCCGUUUAUAAAAUUGAAAAAUAAUAAUUCGUUAAGCGUUACGUUGCGAAUUACAAUUACGCGACGCAAAAAUGGAAGCCAAAUUCGGUAAAUGGUAUUUAAAACGUAUUUUACAAAAUAACCAAUAUACGUUUUUGCGUUAAUUUUAUAAUAUUUGCGGUUUGUUUUUUAUAAUUAUUUUUUAUAUAUUAUAUAAAUUUUGCAUUUAUACGCAAUUACGCCGUAUUAUAAAAAUUUAUAUUUAUUUAUGUUUUUUUGUUUAACGUUUGCACGUUAAUUGGUAAAUAAUUAUAAAUAGUUUAAAAAUGCGUGGUUAUUUAUUAAUUUAAGAUUUAAAUGGGUAAUUUAAAUUUUGUUUUUGCGCGACAUAGUUUAUUAUACAAUUAAACGGCCGUUUUCGCCGUUUUUGGCUACAAAUUAAUGGGAAAAUAUAUACCCAAUAAUAUUACCAAAACGUUGGCUUAUAUUUUCUAAUUUAUUCGUUUAAUUUUCCUGUUAAAUUCGUAUAUAUUCGCAAAACUAAAGAUUAAUUUAAUUUCUUUUUUAUUUACCCAAAUUUUGUAUUUUUUCAAAUUUUAGAGUUUAUUUAAUAUUAUUGCCGGAUUUAUAUCGCUCCGUAUUUUGCAAAUAAUACAACCGUAUUAUUUCCGAGCCCAUCUUUCGAAAUUUUUAAUAAUAUUAAAAAAAUUCAAACCCUAAACGGGAUUAUAUAAAAAUAAUAUAAAUUAAUCCGCAAAAAAUAUUUUUAAUUUUUAAUAGGUAUUUUAUUCCGUUAUAUUUUUCGGGGUAAUAUAUAUAAUUCCAAAAUAUUCUCCAAAACCAAAAUAGUCGGUAAGGGCGAUUUUCUGGGAUUCGCCGUAAAACUAUUCGUUUUGCGUAUAUUUGUGCGCAAUUUUUACAAAAUAUACAAAUAUCGCCCAUAACCUUUACCUUUUUUGCGUUUUAUAUUAGCCGUUCCAACAUUAAUUAUUCCAAAUAACCAAUUUGUAAAUAUUAGGUGCGCGUUAUUUUAAUUUUUGGUUUAGGAACUUAUAAUAUUAAUAAGAAAUGUCCUUUUUACCGUUUUAUUAUAUUAUAUAUAACCGUUAUAAUAAUAAUUCACGUUUAAAAAAAAGAAUUAAAAUUGAAAAGGUAAAAGAAUUGUGCAGUAUUAAUUUAUAUUUAAAAAACGGUAGGUUUUUUUAUUUUUCCAAUUGUAAAACUAACGUAUUCGCCUAAAUCAACUCGUAUUUUAGAAAAACAUUUUAACCAUAUAAUUACAAAUUAUAUUUGCUAAUUAAUAUUUCGGAUAUAAUAUUAACGUGGAAUUUUGGAAUUAAUGCGAUUUUUUCCAAAAUUAAAUCCCUGUUAUCAAAUAAAUUAUUAAAAGUUUUGCGGCCAUAUUUUUAAAUUUGCAACGUGGAUAUGCCGGUUGCGAUUACAUUAUUAAUUCUUGCUGGGUAAAACGUUUUUUCGUCAAUUAAUAAUAUUAAACUAAUAACGUAUAUUGCGUUUUUAUUAUAGAUAAUAAUAUUAUCGGCGAAACAAUGGGUAUUUUUUUUAAUUGCAAAUAUAUUAACUACCAUUUUUAAUAUUUUAAUUAUAUUAUACGGUAUAGCGGUAUAAUAUAUAAAUUUAUUGGGAAUUUGUUUAAAAUUUUCCUAUAUCCCCAAAUUUUUUUUACGAAUCAAAAAUCCCCGUUGGAAUUUUUUAUAAAAAGGUUUUUACGUCCCAAAUUUUGACGAAAUUAUUUAUGAAUUUUGGAUUUUAAUAAUUUUUGUAAAAUUAUAUUUUUUUCGUCGGAAUUUAUAUUAAAUUUUUUCGAUCUUUUUAAACUUUUUGUACCUGUUAAAGCCCAAUGGAAUUUGUUACAAUCUUUUAAUUUCCAGCGAUAUUUCCUAUUAUUGAUAUUUUUAUAUAAAUAUUGGUGUUUUUGUAUUAACUUUAUUUUGGUUUAAACUAUUUUUAUUUAAAUUCUUUUGCGAACUAUUUUUUCCAUUAUUACAAUAAUUGGAAUUGGUUUUGGGUUUCGUCGGUUAAAUCUUUUCAAUUAUAUAUAUAUUUCGAAAAUUUUUAAAUAUUGUUUACGUCCAUAAGUGGUUUUUUUAUAAUUAUUAUUUUAUUUAUUUGAUAAAAUUGGUAAAGUUUCCAAAAAACAAAUAUUCGCGCCGCGAUUACCGAUAAUAAAUCGGUAAUUCCUAUAAUAUUUUGGAUUUCCGGAAUAUUAUAUAUAUAUUUUGGCAAAUAUAAAUUUUAUUUGUAUAUUUUAUAUCCAGGUUUCCGGAUUUGUACCUUUUUAUCUGAUUUUGUCGAAUUAAUGUCGGUAUUUACGGCGAAUUUUAUUUAUUUCCGUGCUUUCCAAACAAUUAAUUAAAAAUCGAAAAAUGCGGAGGAAAAAUUAAAUAUCCGCCGUUUAUUUUUACUAUAUUAUAACGUUCGCCCGUUUUAUAAAAUUUGCAUUUGUUAAUUUAUCAAUUAAAAAGAAAAGUCGAUAUAAUAUUUGGUUACGUCGGAAGUAAAUAAAACAAAUACCACGUUAUUGUACUAUUUUCUGAAUUUUUGGUAUAUUGUUUAUUUUUCGUCCAAAUUGUUAUUUAUAUCCAAAUUUAAACGUUUUGUCCAUAUUAAUUUUUUUGCUGCAAUAAUAUUGGAAAAGAAAUUCUGGUACUUUUAAUAUAAAUGGGGUUAGGUAUAUUUUCGGUAAAAAUAAAUUAAAACCCAAAUAUAGCGUGUUUUAAUUGCGGUUUCGAUGGAUAAAAACCAUUUAAACCAUUUUUUCGCCGUGCGGAAUAUAAUAAUACCAAAUUUAACUUUUUUUUCGGAAAGGUAAAAUAUAAUAAACAAAUAUACGGUUUGCGGGAAUAUGGUAGGAAAAAGGGUUUAACAAAAAAUAUUAAAAAAAUAUAUUGCGUAUAUGGGUUAUAUAAUUUGUAAAUAAAAUAAAUAAUUUAUAAAGUUUUUGGAUUAAACGUUUUCCGGGUUUAACAUUGUUAUAAACGUUAUUUUUUAUUUAAUUUAUUUGAACGAAUGUACUCAUUUGGUUGGGUUUAUACAAUCGAACAAAUUUCAAUAUAAUACUAGUUUCAUUUUAGGAAACUAAGGUAAAGAAAUGUUAUGCGCGUUACAAAAUCGUGUUUAAAUAAGAAAAACGCGUUAAUUUGAACAAAUAAAUAUUGUAUUUUUAACCAAACGCGCAAACAAAACCGCUGCUAAUAAUUUAGCUGGUUUCAGCCCAAUUUAAAUUGAGUAUGGCUAGAUAUUUUGUCAAAGGUUGGAAUGCACGCCUUUGUGGCUAAUUGCGGUGGUUUAAUACGCGAUAGUAUAAUAUAUAUAUAUUUAUACCGUUAAUAAUAAUCGAAAUAUUAAAAAUAUUAUAUAUUUGCUAUUUUUAUUAUUUAAAGUUCAAAUUUAUAUGCAAUAAAUGUAAGGUGAAACCCAUCAAAUAAAUUGAAGUUCAAAUAUUUUUUAAGAAUUGAAAUAGGGCUUAUAAUAUA